AACGUAGGAGGCGAGCGUUAUCCGGAUUUACUGGGCGUAAAGCGCACGCAGGCGGCUUCGUUAGUCGGACGUGAAAGCUCCUGGCUUAACUGGGAGAGGCCGUUCGAUACUGCGGGGCUUGAGGUUGGGAGAGGGGUGUGGAAUUCCCGGUGUAGUGGUGGAAUGCGUAGAUAUCGGGAGGAACACCAGUGGCGAAGGCGGCACCCUGGCCCACACCUGACGCUGAGGUGCGAAAGCGUGGGUAGCAAACAGGAUUAGAUACCCUGGUAGUCCACGCUGUAAACUAUGUCAACUAGGUGUUGGUAGUGUUACACUAUCAGUGCCGAAGCAAACGCGUUAAGUUGACCGCCUGGGGACUACGAGCGCAAGCUUA
rnacentral:rRNA from 1 species